CCAAUAUUCCCGCCGCACAGAACUCCCUCGCUCUGAGCCCUAAUUCCAUUCCCGCACAAACCUUCUUCGCUCUCAGGCUCUCCCCUUAAUUCCAUUCCAGCACAAACCUCUCGCUCUCAGCCCUCAUUCGAUGAGUUAAGGCUCAGCUCUCACUCACCCUCUGCGUGUACUUGGAUCGGAGCUCACAAUCGUUUGCUAGAGGACGAUUGAAGACGCCGUCGGCGAGCUCGGUGACCGGAGCUUAUUCUUCAUCAUCUGCAACCAGCUCUAUUCCAGAUCACUGCGACACCAAAGACUUCUACUCCUACCACGUUCGUGGCAUCCUUAAGCCCCUCAACAUUCAACAAGGCUGUGUCAUCUGCCCCCUUCUCCGUUAAACCUUCUUUUAUUAACUUUUUUGGUGGAUUCCAUGGAGGAGCUAUAGCUUCUAUUGCUGAGGUUGUGUUGGUAGCUACUACAAGAACAGUUGUGGUUGAGGAUAAGGAGCUUUUUCUAGGGGAACUAAGCAUCUCUUACCUCUCUUCUGCUCCAAAGAAUAACAUAGUUCUAACCAGGAAGGAAUUUUAAAGCUCUGCAAGAGAAUUGAGUACACGAUUCAGGCUUGGUAUCUUCUACAAUUCGAGGAUUUGAUGCAACUGUAUUCGCUCUUUGACCCCGUACAUGGGAAUCAAAAAUUGCAACAACAACGUUUAUCUGAAAUGGGCUGAUGUGUUGUUGAUUCUCUUACUUAUUUCUUCUGGUCUAUUUAACAGCUUAUUGCUUUGAAUAUUACGGUUAGAUAUGUAAGUAGGAGUAUUUUAAUACAUUUACCUCUGAGUUUAUAGAGUCAAAGUGAUACAGAGUCCAGCUAUUGAUGCAUACCUCACUCUUUAUGUUUAACUUAAUAAGACAAACAUUUUGCUUCAUAUGCAGCAUUUGCUUUGAGUUGUCAUAUUUUAUUGGAAUUAGACUGUUGUAUCUGUAUUGUGAUCGAUUCUACAAAUGGGUUUGUUAUAUAGGUGUUCUUUGUGGACUGAUUGUUACUUUCUUACUAAUGUUCUAUAGUGAUUGCAGGAACUUUCGGGCACAAUUACUAAGCUAAUGCACAUGCAGCUUUCUAAUUGGACUUUCUAAUGACAGGUUGAUGUACUUUCCAAGGGGACUAAUUUUAAUUGUAUUGGUGAUUGGGUUGUGGAGGCCACUGUAAAGUAAGAUUAGUUUGCAUGCACAUUUUCUUCUACUUAUUUAUAUAGUAUCUAUCUCAAAAAGAGUUUCCCUUGGUGCUUGUUUGUUUGCAAUGUUAUGAGCAUUCACCUGACGAGUGCAAAGUCUUUGGUUGGAGUAGUUGGAGUUGCACAAAAGGAAAAGAAGGGGCGGGAUGUGUAUGUUAUGGUGAGCUUCUUGAUGGGAAUUCUGGAAGUUUACUUAGUACUGAGCAGCAAAUCCAUGCUCCAGCUAAUUUUAAAAAGGGCACACACCAAAUGCUUUCACAAGCAAUAUAGUGCUUUUAACAGAUAACACAGUUUUGCUUUUCUGGGCCAUGCAAAUACUGAAAGGCACUUUGCAUUGUGUCUUCAUCAAGAUUGGGUAUCAAGGUGGGCUUUGCUUAAAAAUUAGGAUCAAGAAGGUUGGUAUGCGGAGAUAAUAAUAAAGGCAUACGGAGAAAGCUUGCCUUGACCACACUGCUGGCUUAGUUGCUGUGCGUAAAUAGUACUAUCGUAUCUAGUAGUUGGUGACUUAUUUUGGUAACCUCCUUGAUUGUACAAGAUAGACAAUAUUACUUGCUAGAUUGAGGUUACUUUUGGUUAGGAUUGCUGGAUUUGAUCAUAUCUGGAUAUGGAUAUGUACUUUUGGAAAUGUUUAGGAUUGGCAAUGUAAGAACAGAUGGCAUUGAUAUAUGACAAUGUUAUAUUUUGGAUUUGUUCAA